CCCUUAGAUGUUCUGGGCCGCACGCGCGCUACACUGAUGCAUUCAACGAGCCUAUCCUUGACCGACAGGUCCGGGUAAUCUUUGAAUCUGCAUCGUGACGGGGAUAGAUUAUUGCAAUUAUUAAUCUUCAACGAGGAAUGCCUAGUAGGCGCAAGUCAUCAGCUUGCGUCGAUUACGUCCCUGCCCUUUGUACACACCGCCCGUCGCUCCUACCGAUUGGGUGUGCUGGUGAAAUGUUCGGAUCGGCCGUUUGUCGCGGUUUCCGCGUCAUGUGGCUGAAAAGUUCAUUAAACCCUCCCACCUAGAGGAAGGAGAAGUCGUAACA
rnacentral:rRNA from 1 species